CAGCCGCCGCGGUAAUACCGGCGGCCCGAGUGGCGGCCACUAUUAUUGGGCUUAAAGCGUCCGUAGCCGGGUUGGUUAGUCUCCCGGGAAAUCUGGCCGCUUAACGGUCAGAAUUCCGGGAGAUACUGCCAGCCUAGGGACCGGGAGAGGCCGAGGGUAUUCCCGGAGUAGGGGUGAAAUCCUAUAAUCCCGGGAGGACCACCUGUGGCGAAGGCGCUCGGCUGGAACGGGUCCGACGGUGAGGGACGAAGGCCAGGGGAGCAAACCGGAUUAGAUACCCGGGUAGUCCCGGCUGUAAACGAUGCGGGCUAGCUGUUGGGUGGGCUGAGAGCCCACCCAGUGGCGCAGGGAAGCCGUUAAGCCCGCCGCCUGGGGAGUACGGCCGCAAGGCUGAAACUUAAAGGAAUUGGCGGG
rnacentral:rRNA from 1 species